rnacentral:rRNA from 1 species
CGGGUCGUGGGGGGCGCGCUGGGCACCAGGAAC